AAUCAACGCUGGCGGCGUGCCUAACACAUGCAAGUCGAACGCGAAAGCUCCUUCGGGGGUGAGUAGAGUGGCGUCCGGGUGAGUAACGCGUGGGUAAGUCUGCCCUCGGGUGGGGAAGUAACCAGUCGAAAGAUUGGCUAAUACCGCAUAAUGCAGCGGCUCGACAUCGAGACAGUUGUUAAAGCAGCAAUGCGCCUGAGGAGGAGCCUGCGUCUGAUUAGCNG
rnacentral:rRNA from 1 species